GUGGGGAAUAUUGGGCAAUGGGCGAAAGCCUGACCCAGCAACGCCGCGUGAAGGAAGAAGGUUUUCGGAUUGUAAACUUCUGUCCUCAGGGAAGAAGGAAGUGACGGUACCUGAGGAGGAAGCCCCGGCUAACUACGUGCCAGCAGCCGCGGUAAUACGUAGGGGGCGAGCGUUGUCCGGAAUGACUGGGCGUAAAGGGCGCGUAGACGGCUGUCUAAGUCUGGAGUGAAAGUCCUGCUUUCAAGGUGGGAAUUGCUUUGGAGACUGGAUGGCUUGAGUGCGGAAGAGGUAAGUGGAAUUCCCAGUGUAGCGGUGAAAUGCGUAGAGAUUGGGAGGAACACCAGUGGCGAAGGCGACUUACUGGGCCGUAACUGACGUUGAUGCGCGAAAGCGUGGGGAGCGAACAGGAUUAGAUACCCGAGUAGUCC
rnacentral:rRNA from 1 species